rnacentral:lncRNA from 1 species
UGUUAGUCUUUUAUUGAGGGUUGUACCCAAGUUAUACAGCUUUGUGUUCCGACACUACGGCCAGAAGGUUUACAAACAGUUAUCAAUCUGUCUAGCGCUCGGUCCGUCGGCCCUGGAGACCAACCACCUUAUAACACUACACCUUUAGUACACAUUCUCUUAAGAGCACUAAAAUAAUCACAAAAAAAAGGGAAAAAAAAAAAAUAUAUAUAUCAUUAUUAUUAUUAUGAAAUAAAAACAAUGACAACAGAACAACAGCAUCAUGGUGGUCGUCGUGGUGACGAUGGGAGGAGACAUGGAUGACAGUGGGAGGAGCAGGCUGGAGUUUCUACCCCAAGGUAGCACGUCACAUCAGGCCUCUGUUACCAAAUAAGGAUUGUCCUUCAGAAAGUGCAGUUCCCCCCCCCCCUCCCCCGAAGAAACCACCCUGCCCCCCCCCAUCCUCCUGUCAGGAAGACACAACGCCAAAACACCCUCCCUGUAACUUUAAAGUAAGUCUUUAUUAUUAGUAAAUAUUAUAGACGUUGGGUUGUUUUCUCUGUACAUCGUUUCUUAUCAGCCUCCCGAAGCAAUGUGCAUAUUAGGUUCACAGGUCAGGAGAAUAUUCUACUCUGCAGCUCGAGGUCUGAGACUUCCAGCUGAUAGAAUUCUCAGUGAUAGAACGUCUCUAUAAAGGAGAGGAGAGGCUUCUAGAAUUCUCAGUGAUAGAACGUCUCUAUAAAGAAGAGGCUUCUAGCUUCUAGAAUUCUCAGUGAUAGAACGUCUCUAUAAAGGAGAGGAGAGGCUUCUAGAAUUCUCAGUGAUAGAACGUCUCUAUAAAGAAGAGGCUUCUAGCUUCUAGAAUUCUCAGUGAUAGAACGUCUCUAUAAAGAAGAGGCUUCUAGCUUCUAGAAUUCUCAGUGAUAGAACGUCUCUAUAAAGGAGAGGCUUCUAGAAUUCUCAGUGAUAGAACGUCUCUAUAAAGGAGAGGCUUCUAGCUGAUAGAAUUCUCAGUGAUAGAACGUCUCUAUAAAGGAGAGGAGAGGCUUCUAGAAUUCUCAGUGAUAGAACGUCUCUAUAAAGGAGAGGCUUCUAGAAUUCUCAGUGAUAGAACGUCUCUAUAAAGGAGAGGAGAGGCUUCUAGAAUUCUCAGUGAUAGAACGUCUCUAUAAAGGAGAGGCUUCUAGAAUUCUCAGUGAUAGAACGUCUCUAUAAAGGAGAGGCUUCUAGAAUUCUCAGUGAUAGAACGUCUCUAUAAAGGAGAGGCUUCUAGCUUCUAGAAUUCUCAGUGAUAGAAUGUCUCUAUCAAAAGCAGCAGUAAAUCUAUGGUUCCAGCAGUCCUCAUCUGUGUCCCAACAGAAACCAGCGGGGGGGGGGGAGGACUUUGUAAAUCUAACCUUCUGCGUGUGGCUGGUUGGUUGGCUAGUAGGUAGAAAAGGUGAUGGCACACAUGUUUUUAGGAAUACUGUGAGCCCUGGCUGCACCGUAGUCCCUACGUAGGGCAAUCCCUGUCUAUGAGUCCCUGGUUAUAAGUAGUGCACUGACAUAGGAGACCAGUGUCUUGUCUGGAACACUGCUCAGGUCUCCACUGUGGACUGGGCUUUAGAUAGAAACCCCAAAUGGACAUGGAAGGCUGGAUAACACCAUUGCAUAGUCUCUUUGUGCACCCCACUCCCCUCGUUACCCUCCCUAAUCCUCCCC